CACUCGUAUAUGUCCCUCCCCCACCCUCACCAAAGAAACAGAUAGGUAACAGGCUCAGUAGAAAAAAAACAAGAGUAAUUCUCCUACGAUUUGUACAAAAUUCACAGAUUAUUUCUUUCAUUUCGUGCGUUCGUCCUAGUCCUUGAGUAUUUGAACUCGGCCUUCCCAAACCAAACCAAACCAUGGUAAAAGAACACGGAUAAAACUGGUUAAAAUAUAUAUAUUAUAUACAUAUGUACAUGUACAAAGUAAAGCAUUCGAUAGUAAUGAAAAGAAACAGUACACAGAAUAAAAAAUAGCUACAUUUGCUGGAUAUGGACCUACAAGCGUUUGGAUACACUGUGGGUAUACAGACACAGCCAGUACGUAUGUGUACGAUGAACGAGACGUAGAACCAACUGAUUCAGCCAGUGUAACAGUGACCGUAGUUUCCUUCUGAUCUGUCUUUUCGUAAACACCCAACGCUUCGCAAACACGCAAACCGUUUUGGAAAACAUUUCUAUUGUUGUCAUUGCCUUUUGUCGUUGCCUUUUUUGGUCAGUGCAGUGAUACAUUGUUAAGUUCAUCGAUAUAUGAACCCACAUUUUUAAGCAUAUGUAUAUAUAAGAAUAUAUAUAAUGUUGUAUUUAUUUUUAUAAGCUACCAGAUCUUGAAUACACUUGAAAAAACUCUCAAAUGAUAGUGUGAGUCGAAAGAUAAUGUUUAAUGUUUCCUCUGGUCUAUUUGUCUCACAUCCCAUAAUAGCCCAGUUUUCCCGUUUUUUUUAAUACUUUAAUUAUAUUUUAAAAUGUAUAAUAAUGUUUCUUUACUGCUAAUCUGAAACUAUGCAGGAUUCUUUAGGGGUUUAAACCUUCUCUCAUGUUGCCUGUGCGGUGUUGCCAGGUCGUGUCCACAGCAACGCAUGCAGCCAGCCGCCUGCACAUCCUAUUCAGAUUCCAGGGCACAUUGAAUCUGUGCACCCUGGAAUCUGUGCAAUGGAAUCAGUUUUCUCCUAAAUAUUGAAUGUGUUUUUGCAUUCUCCUGACCUGAAAGAUACUCUCAUGUGAACAUGAAAUUUGAAAGGUCAGACAUGUUGAGAGUUAGUGGCUGUGAACGUUCUGAGCUGUGCUUUAAUAUUCAUGAGGUGAACAUAUACGAAGAGAGCUGGUGGUGUAUGUAUGGGUUUGUGUAUAUGAACGUGUGGCUAUAUGAGUGGGUAGAUGGGAGUGUGUAUGCGUUUGAAUGCAUGUGUGUGGAAAUUAGUGUGUGUAGGAUAUGUUUCUAUGCAAACAUGUAAACACACAAUCACUCAAGAGCAGAAAAAUACUGACACACACACAUAAACACAUGAGCAAUGAAAAUAAUUCAAGAAAAUGGAAACGAAUUGUGAAUCGACAAUAGUGUGUCAUGCUGUUGAUGGGCUAUUCAAUUAUUCCCCUUUUGAGAGAAAGAUAUUGGUGGGAGCAUCCGCAGGGAAUAAGAUGCGCUCUACAGGUCAAGGGUGAAAUACCCUGUGGCCCUGAAACCUCCUCUCUCUACCUCUACCACUACCAGAGCCUGAUUGGUGGGUUCAUCUGUCGUCCUGGUAAUAUCAGUGGUGGUUGGUUGGUAUAUUUGCACGCCAGCCAAGCGGAUCUGUAACGUUCUCGUUGAUGGAUGGAAUAAGGAUCUCACCUACGCCCUUGUCAGCAUUUAAUCUUUCUCACUGUCUUAACGUGUGUUGCUCUCUCGGCCCUCUACCACUCUACAGGAUAUUCUCUCAGCCCUCUCUCUCCCUGCAUGUGUGAUGCUCUCUCAGCCAUUUCUAUCUGUGUCUUUGUGAUGCUCUCUUGGCUCAUCUCUCUUUCUCUCUCCUUGUCUGUGUUAUGUUCUCUCUCUCUCUCUCUCUCUCUCUCUCUCUCUCUCUCUCUCUCUCUCUCUCUCUCUCUCUCUCUCUCUCUCUCUCUCUCUCUCUCUCUCUCUCUCUCCAUUAGCUCCAAUCUGGCUAAGUGGCCAUGGGAAAGAGCAGCAGAAGAGGACCAUUGAUCAACUGGUCCUCUUGAGAGAGAGAGACUACAAACACACAUGGAGAUAGGGAGAGACUACAUACACACAUGGAGAGAGAGACUACAUACACAAAUGGAGAGAGAGAGACUGUAUACACACAUGGAGAUAGUGGAAGAGACUACAUACACACAUGGAGAGAGAGGAAGAGACUACGUACACAUGGAGAGAGAGACUACAUACACAAAUGGAGAGAGAGAGAGAGAGAGACUGCAUACACACAUGGAGAGAGAGGAAGAGACUACAUACACGCAUGGAGAGAGAGAGACUACAUACACAAAUGGAGAGAGAGAGAGACUGCAUACACACAUGGAGAGAGAGGAAGAGACUACAUACACACAUGGAGAGAGAGAGACUACAUACACAUGGAGAGAGAGACCACAUACACAAAUGGAGAGAGAGAGAGACUGCAUACACACAUGGAGAGAGAGGAAGAGACUACAUACACACAUGGAGAGAGGCAGAGAUUAUUCUUUUCGAUGCAUGUAAGAUAGAGAACAUUCAUGCAUGGAUCGAGAAUAUAUUUGCAUCGAGAGGGAGAGAACUAUUGUUGUGCGGCCCUUGUGCAAAGAAACCCACGCACACUUAAUCAAAUGAAGGACUAUGUUAGUGCAUUCAUACUUCACUAAACAGAGCAGUGCAAAAAACAUCACACACACAGAGAAACACACAUACAUUAGUACAAUGUAAUGGUAAAAAUGCAUUGUACUGAUUUACACUCAUAAACGCAGGCAAGCACACAUAUACACACACACAUACACGCACGUACACAAACACACACAAACACACAAACGUAAACACCAUAUUCAAACACACACACACACACACACACACACACUGGUUCUUCAUUUGUUCCUCCACCAGAGGACUCUUCACUUAUGAUGGACUGCCACACUGGCAGAAACGUAAAUUAUUUCCCAAAUCUCCUCCUUCUAGCGCUGUGGGCUGAGUGUCCUCCCGCCCACCACGCCCAGCGAGGUCAAGAGUGCUCUCUGCUCAAUGAGACAGGGCUUGGACCGUGAGCCUGGGCAUAAUGAGGAGGCAAUCAUGAGGUCUAUGGGAUCCUGCAAGCCUACGGGCACGUACGCCUGGCCGGCAGGAAAAGGCCCCACUGCACUUUGUACUGCUUCUUCAGCUUUCGGGAAGGUGAGAGAUUUCUCUUUGAAAAGGGAAGCAAAAUGAGAAUUACAAUCAGAUGUUUCCUCCAAGGUAUUCACCACCCAGAGUCUCGUGGACUCAGAGAGAAAGCUUCUUAUAAUGUUAUCUGUCAUCCGUGUUGAAAUAAGAGAAACGUUUUCCUUAUAGAAAAUAGGAAAUCGUUUUUAGUGUUUGGGAAUGUGUUUGAAUAUAGUUUGUUUCAAUGGUUUAAAAACAUAAUACUUUUUGAAAAGUGAAAGUGAGAAAAAGGUAUUCGGGUAUGUGUAGGGGGUUUCACACCUAUAGUGAAUCCUAAAAGGUAUUGCAAGAAGCUAAUUAACCCUAUUAUAUAGCCUUGAAGUGAAUCUCUGAUAUUUUCGUACUUUUACAGUCAUAUUCCUCUAAAAGUAGGGCAAGAUCACAGUGUCGAUUGAAUAAUAUAUCAUUACGGCGUUUCUCGGUGGUUGAAUCGUGUCUCAGAUGGUGGGCUCAGCAAUGAAGGGUCUUCUGAAGUUAUCACUCUUUUGAACACUUCAUGCAUGCUACGCACACACACACACACACACACACACACACACACACACACACACACACACACAAACACACACACACACACACACACACACACACACACACACACACACACACACACACACACACACACACACACACACACACACACACACACACAGGCUGUUUCAUUGUCCCCAACGUAGUGCAGAACUUAAUGUUGUUAUGAAAUAUAUUCACUGCAUGGCUUUGUUAGGUGUUAGACUCCCUGUGAAGUAUGUUUGGAUUAAAGCAUCUGCUAAAUGAAUACAUGAUGAUGUGAAUUAAUUUGUGUAUAUGGGGAUACUGUUUGUAAUGUACUGUGUCUGUAAAUAGUCCACAUAACUGCAUAAGUGUAUCUACAUUAAUGUCAAAUGAAUGUACAGAUUUCUCUUAUUUAAUCUAAGUUUUGGUCUGUUUCGUCCUCUGCUUUGGAACAACUUUGAAAAAUGAAUCCAUUAUUUAAAAUCCAUUGAAAUACAUUUUAAUUGAAUCCAGCAUGUCCAUGUGUGUCCAGACCAAACUCAGCAGGGUGUCAGCUACAGUUAGCUAGCUGAAUGGCGGAUGAAGCUGUGGAGGCAAUUAAAGCGAGUGGCUGUUCUGAUUGGUUCUGAUAGUCACCGCCAGUGUUCCGCCCGUUGCCCCCGGCAACAGUUUGUGUUGCAGUGUGAACAACUCCCUGGGCAUCAGCAAACACACACACACACACACACACACACACACACACACACACACACACACACACACACACACACACACACACACACACACACACACACACACACACACACACACACACACACACACACACACACACACACACACACAGUAAUGAAACACAAGAACAGCAGCCAUGCACAUUUCAACACUAAAUCCUCGUAACAUAAACAGCAGUUACUGUUAUUAUAAUAUUCUACUAUCUCCUGCAUUCUAGCCCAGAUUAACACUCAUAGAUUUUUUUUACUUUGCACGCUGAUCCAUGUGUGUGUGUGUGUGUGUGUGUGUGUGUAUUAUCUCUGGGGCUGUACUGGUACGAGCAGUUGUGGGAUUCCCUUUGAUCGCAUCCUAGAGUUGGUAAUUGCCACGGCAAUUAUUAUUUAAGUGAUGCUGUAGGAAAGAGGGCACGCCAUGCGCAUGCAGUGUGUGUGUGUGUGGUACGUUUGCUGCAGCAUUGCGCUACAAUACGGGUCAUAUUUGAACACACCCCUCUCUGCAGGGACCUGAUUACACUCAAAAACCUCACAACAACACCACACCCAAUCUCUGAGAACAACUAUAGCAUGUAUUAAAUGUAUCACACAGCUUUUUUGAACGCUGAAUUCUGGUUGGCCAAUAACAGCAUUCUACGGACUGCUGUUUCUGUAAAGCAGGCCGCUGCUUAACCGAAGCAAUCUAGUAGAAGCAAUGCCGUAUCUUUUUUUUUAUUGAAGAAUAUCAUUAGCCGUGUAACACAUGGGAUAUUGUACAGCACGCUGGUCAUUAUCGUGAAAUAAUACCAAUAUUGAAUAAAUAAUCGCAUUCAUUUUGCGAUAAAGAAUAGCUAGCUGUACAAUAUCCCUUACGUAUACAUUCUAGUAUUCUGUAGUUGUAUGUAUGUUUUAUGUCUAUAUAUAUAUACAGACAUUAUACAGACAUAUAUCUAUCUUUAUAUAUACAUACAUGUACACAUAGCAUAUGUACACAUACAUAUGUAUGUAUAUGUAUGUUUAGAAAUAUAUAACUAUAUAUAUAUAUAUAUAUA
ensembl:lncRNA